rnacentral:rRNA from 1 species
GACGAACGCUGGCGGCAUGCCUAAUACAUGCAAGUCGAGCGAACAGAUGGAGUGCUUGCACUUCUGACGUUAGCGGCGAACGGGUGAGUAACACGUAAGGAAUCUACCUAUAAGCGGGGGAUAACAUUCGGAAACGGGUGCUAAUACCGCAUAAUAUCUUCUUCCGCAUGGAAGAAGAUUGAAAGACGGCUCUGCUGUCACUUAUAGAUGACCUUGCGGUGCAUUAGUUAGUUGGUGGGGUAACGGCCUACCAAGACGAUGAUGCAUAGCCGACCUGGGAGGGUGAGAGGCAACAUUGGGACUGAGACACGGCCAAAACGCCUACGGGAGGCAGCAGUAGGGAAUCUUCCGCAAUGGGCGAAAGCCGGACGGAGCAAUGCCGCGUGAGUGAAGAAGGCCUUCGGGUCGUAAAACUCUGUUAUAAGAGAAGAACAAAUUGUAGAGUAACUGCUACAGUCUUGACGGUAUCUUAUCAGAAAGCCACGGCUAACUACGUGCCAGCCGCCGCCGUAA